rnacentral:lncRNA from 1 species
GCGAUAAAGAACCAGAGAAAGCAAAUAGUUUCGUCAAGCGCGUGACCGGCGCGUGGCGGCUUCGCCGGCGUCGGUCUUUCUGUCUGUUUUUCUUUAUGGUUUUGCUCUCUGCUUAGUCUUUUUUGGGUUUUGGAGCCUUGGUUGUUGUUGGCAAGGUGAAGAAUUUUUGGAUCUUAGAUCUGAAAGGGUCAUGGCUGUGUUCUUCGAUUCGUCGAUGGCUUGUGGUGUGGAUGAAGUUCCUUUUCUCUAUGUUGAGAAAGCUUGGGUUUCUCCUUUGUCCUCUCAGAUUUGGGUUUCGACGAAGGUUGUAAUCGGUGGUUACGACGGCGGCUAAUUUUUACUUGUGGUCUGGCUCUCUUCCUUUGGGUAGGGUUGCAACGGUACCCUAGUGGUUAGGCGUUAGUGGUUUGGUAAUUGCUCUUUGCUUUUUCGUUAGCCUUGUUCUCUUCGAUUCUCUUUUGGGUUCCUGUUGAUUUGCCUUCAUUGUUGGUGGGUUGGUGGGUGUGCUGGAAUCAAUUCUAUAUUCAGUCUUUUGUGGUUUAGCAUCUUCUUCUUUUGCCUAGUCUCUGUCCUGCCGAGUUCGCUUGUUGUUCGAUCCUGUUCGUGCUCUUGCCGUUUCCAGUCUUCGGUUUGAUGCGGAUUGUUUGGACUCAGUCCUUGUCUCUACGGUAUAGACCUGAUCGAGGUCUCUCUAUUGCAUUGGUAUCUUUCUUGGCGUGGACAAUUCGUGGUUAUAUCUUAUGCUUCGAAUUCGCCGUUUCCAGAAGUUGGGUGUGGUUUCUAGUUGUCUUCCCUUCUUGCUGGUAAAGAUGCUUUAGUUCUCUUUAUUUGUGAGGUAGUCUUCAUUGUUAAAGGAGGAGUCGUUGUCCGGUGUCGUGGAUUUACUCGUCACCAUCGGUCAGCCACUAUGUCAAGCGUUUCUCGCUGUUUGGAUUGUUGGUAGGCAAUUUGUGCAUUUUGUGUGGUGCUAGAUUCUGAGUUAGAGGUUUGAUUUUCUCUACAUUUGUUUCCUUAGCCUUCUGUGUUUUGGCAUUGGUUUUUCUUUCGUAGUGUUGUUGCUUAGUUCCUGUCUCUUUGGGCUUAGUUUCGAGUUUUAGUUGUUCGCCAGCUUUGUUUCCCUCGUUUGGGCCUUUGGCUUGUUGUAAGGUUUCAUUUCAAUUUUAAUCAAAAUUUCUAGACGACAAAAAAAAAAAAAAA